rnacentral:misc_RNA from 1 species
CACCAAUCAAGCCUCGCUUGGUAUUGGGCGUCCGCGGCGGGAACGUCGCGCGCCCCAAUGUCUCCGGCUGGGCCGUCCGUCUCUCAAGCGUUGUGGUCUAACUGUUCGCUUUGGAGCGCGGGCCGGUCUGUGCCGUUAAACCCCCCAUCAAA